rnacentral:ncRNA from 2 species
GCGGCCCCACGCACCAGGGUAAGAGAGAGUCUCACUUCCUGCCCUGGCCCGAGGGACCGACU